rnacentral:rRNA from 1 species
AGAGUUUGAUCCUGGCUCAGAAUCAACGCUGGCGGCGUGCCUAACACAUGCAAGUCGAACGAGAAAGGGGAGCAAUCCCUGAGUAAAGUGGCGACCGGGUGAGUAACACGUGACUAACCUACCUUCGAGUGGGGGAUAACUCCGGGAAACCGGGGCUAAUACCGCAUAACAUCGCAAGAUCAAAGCAGCAAUGCGCUGGAAGAGGGGGUCGCGGCUGAUUAGCUAGUUGGCGGGGUAACGGCCCACCAAGGCGAAGAUCGGUAUCCGGCCUGAGAGGGCGCACGGACACACUGGAACUGAAACACGGUCCGGACUCCUACGGGAGGCAGCAGUGGGGAAUUUUGCGCAAUGGGGGAAACCCUGACGCAGCAACGCCGCGUGGAGGAUGAAGCCCCUUGGGGCGUAAACUCCUUUCGACCAAGACGAUAAUGACGGUACUGGUGGAAGAAGCACCGGCUAACUCUGUGCCGGCAGCCGCGGUAAUACAGAGGGUGCGAGCGUUGUUCGGAAUUAUUGGGCGUAAAGGGCGCGU